rnacentral:rRNA from 1 species
CAGCACCUCAAGUGGUCAGGAUGAUUAUUGGGCCUAAAGCAUCCGUAGCCGGCGCUGUAAGUUUUCGGUUAAAUCUGUACGCUCAACGUACAGGCUGCCGGGAAUACUGCAGCGCUAGGGAGUGGGAGAGGUAGACGGUACUCGGUAGGAAGGGGUAAAAUCCUUUGAUCUAUUGAUGACCACCUGUGGCGAAGGCGGUCUACCAGAACACGUCCGACGGUGAGGGAUGAAAGCUGGGGGAGCAAACCGGACUAGAUACCCGAGUAGUCC